GGGAAAGCAAGCCUGAAUCAAAAUCAACUGAAGUUGAACUUGGCUUGAUCCACUCCACUCUGGCAAGGGUGAAUCAUCUAUUAAAAGCUCGACUACUUCUGCUAGCAGUCGAAGACUUGUGUAAACACACGAUGAUCACCGUCAACAAACUUGCCAGGAAGCCUACCAAUGUCCAACGGCAGCUGCUGGUUUAAAGCUUUUAUUCGUUGUUUCAAUAUGACUUGAUUUGCAGAUAGCAUAGAAAAUGAAUCAUUACUAGUUCCCAGGAUAAGCGAUAUUUCAUGAGAUACCAAUCCCAAAAAGAAGCAAUGCAUCGGAUCGACAGCUGCCAUCUUUACAGGGUCAAAAUAUGGCAAUCUUAACAGUUCCGAAUAUCUUACUCCAUUGGUUUUCGCAAGAUGGUCCUGUUGAGCCUUAGUUGAAGCGUCUCUGUAUGCCAGUGCCUGCUGUCAAACCUCUGCUCCACUUCUCAAAGGUAUAGACAAAGAAGUCUCCCCAUUGGUGUAGUAGCUCAUUUUGCAUGAUGCUCCAUGUGUUCCCGGUUCUCUCUCAGCUUGAAAUUUGCACUUGCUACAACCAAGAUCUGCUUUGUGACCCAAAAACUGCAAAACCUUUCGAGAUGCUGGUAAAUCACAAGACACACACACACAAGAGC